rfam:Phytophthora infestans T30-4 supercont1.48 genomic scaffold, whole genome shotgun sequence.
ACUGAUGCGUUCAACGAGUAUACAACCUUGAUCGAUAGGUCUGGGUAAUCUUGUGAAUGCGCAUCGUGCUAGGGAUAGACUGUUGCAAUUUUCAGUCUUGAAC